GGGGCCAUAGCUCAGCUGGGAGAGCGCCUGCCUUGCACGCAGGAGGUCUGCGGUUCGAUCCCGCAUGGCUCCA
rfam:Oblitimonas alkaliphila strain E5571 chromosome.